AGGUUCUGGAGUGGGGCGAUUGGGUGGGCGGGGUGGCUGCCGCCCGCGGGAGCCGUACGGGCGCUGCCGCCCAGCGGCGGGCGCGGCGCACCUGAGCCGGGGGAGGCCCAGGCUGGGCCUGCAGCUGCCCGUCAACAGCUGCCCGUCAGCAACUGUCCCAGAGCGCAGAGCAGUCCGGCUGUGCCCGGAGACAGUGUGACUGACUCAGAAGGCCCAAAGAAACCAGUGGCUGGGACUGGGAGAGUGUCCAGGGAAAUGCUUUGAUGAGCCAUGUUAGGAUUUUGCCAUUCUCACAGACUUCCUCUUUUAUCAGUCAUGUCAGACUGGUUUCUGAAUGAAAAGAUUGGGCUUCAAAAAGAUUAGAAGUCUGUUCUUGGGAUCAAAGUAAAUAGGAGAGUAAGUAAAUGAUAAGUUCAUAUUUCUGGAGCUGGCAAAAGGCAGAAGAAAAGAGCAUUAAAGACUGCCUGCCUGCAGUCUAUGAAAGAUGACAUUUGAAUGUUUUCAAGAAUCUUUCUAUGUCUUGCAAUGGUGAAUCCCCUUAUAAUGAAUGUACAGCCUAAAUGCUACACCAGAGUGUUUCUUCUUUUGUGUUCUCCAAGAAGACUGUACAUCUUUCCAGUAUUAUUCAACAGAACAACGGAAAUUAGAUCAUAGAAUCAACCAGGAUGGAAGAGACCUCUGAGAUCAUCCAGUCCAACCUAACAUGCAGCACUGUCCAGUCAACUAGACCAUGGCACUAAGUGACCCAUCCAGGCUUUGCUUCAACACCUCCAGGGACAGCAACUCCACCACCUCCCUGGGCAGCCCAUUCCAAUGUCAAACACUCUCUCUGACAACAACUUCCUCCUAACACCCAGCCUAGACCUCCCCUGCCACAACUUGAGACUGUGUCCCCUUGUCCUGUUGCUGGUUGCCUGGCAGAAGAGGCCAACCUCACGUGGCUACAACCUCCCUUCAGGUAGUUGUAGAGAGCAAUGAGGUCUGCCCUGAGCCUCCUCUUCUCCAAGGUAAACAACCCCAGCUCCCUCAGUGUCUCCUCAUUGAGCUGUGUUCCAGGCCUCUCACUAGCUCCAUCACCCUUCUCUGGACACGUCCCAGUCUCUCAACAUCUCUCUUGGAUUGAGGAGCCCAGAACUGGACACAGGACUCAAGGUGUGGCCAGAGCAGUGUUGAGUACAGGGGCAGAAUAACCUCCCUUGUCCUGCUGGCCACACUGUUCCUAAUCCAGGUCAGGAUGCCAUUUGCUUUUUUGGCCACCUGGGCACACUGUUGGCUCAUGUUCCGCCUACUAGAUGCUAGAUUUAAUAGAUCCAGUUCUCAAGGACUGUUUCUAUCUCGGUGCUUCCCCAACUCUGGAUAUAGAUUUUGUCAGAAUAUGUUUAAGAAUGAGAGUCUAAUCUGCAAAAUGGAGAUGAUAUGCUGAAUGUAGUUCAGACUUUUGCACCAAGGAUUUUAAUGCAGCCUUAUUUGUGCAUCUACAUUUAUAAAACACAGGUUAGACAAAGAACACUGGCAGUCUGUAACAACAUGUUACCAUCAUGCCAGUCCAUAUUUAUAAACCUAUAGAUAGGAAAAUCAGUGGAUAUCAAAAUGUUGACACUGUAGGUUCCUAGUCUCAGUGCUCUAGGAGGCAAAAAAAACCCUGGAAUGUUACCAUUAAAUGCAAAUCUCUACCAGCACAGUCUUCUGUAUAAAAGAUUAAGGAGAUGCUCCUCAGCACAUCUCUUCAGUGCAGCUCACUCCUUUUACAGCUCAUGGUAAUUUAUGUUUCAUCUUAAAUUAACCCAGCACAAAUGCUCUGAUUUGGAUUGUAUAUAUUUCAGAGGAUGUGUCUCAGCUGUGUUGUGGUUAAAGGCACAGAUAUGAACAUGUACACCACUCUGGAGAUGUAUCUCAUGCCAGCAGAUGGAUUUGCUUGGUCAACUGCUUGGUCUUUCCUCAGUGUGAGCUUUACUGAUAAAUGGAUUCCUCUCUGCAUGGCUCCAAAGCUGGACUGUGGGGGUGUCCCCCACUUUCACACAAUACUACAUUGCAAACAUCACUUUAGUGAAGAUUUGUUCUUCAUGCAGGGAAGAGAGGUAAGCCACUGGCAACAGGAGCUUCAUGAACUGCGCUGUGCUAGCUAGGAGGGAGGCUGCAAAUCUGUCUUUAGCAUCUGAGUCAGUAAAAGAGACUCCUCUGCUUCAUGAAAUAUAUAUGCUAAUCUCCCAGAUGGCUAUAUCUCCUUUCUCCACAGAAGAGAUGACCUGGAAAAUAAAAGACUAAAAUCACUGGAGAGUGCAAAUUCUGGGCCAAAAUCUAGCAGUUUCCAGUAGAUUUUAGAGAGUCUUGGCUUUUACAUUUAGUUAGAAUUUGCAUUGAUAAUAAAAUACAGCAAUGGUGAUGUGACUGUUAGUCUAUCUUUAGGUCAUAAUCCAGGCUAAGCUUUAGCAGUUGCUCUGUCACCUGAUGACCCCUCCCUGGCCAAGAAGGGUGAUCAGGAAGAGGUGAGGAGACCUAUGGGUUGAAAUUAAAAUGGAUUUAAUGAAACAGCAAGACUAAUGUGAACAAAGUCAUACUCAGACCAGUGAAUGUACAGCAGUCACAGUAAAAAAGAAAGCAGAGUGGUGAGAAAGCCCCUGCUAUGGUAAUGACACUCAAAAAGAGAAGAUUAAGUAAUAGAGCCUCACCCUCAGAAAACUUCCCCCUUUACACUGUGUAAUAUUUAUGGGAUGGGACACACCUGCAGCCAGGUUGGGGUUGCUGCCCUGGUUUUCCCCCUCCCAGCUUAAGCUAACUGUCUCUAAGCAGCUAAUGACCUGCAGACCAUGGCUGGCUUGUGAUUCCAUCACAGAGAAAACAGGACAUUAUUCUUACAGGUCACGCUAUCAUUUAUAUGUAACACAAAGCAUACAUAUAUUUAUCAACAUUUCUGUAAGGGAAAUAAGGCACAGGAAGACUUUCAGAUGGGAUUUCUGCCUAUACUGAAACAAAUACAACUAACAGAAACAAUGUUUAACUUUGGCUUAGUAAUGACCACUGUUUGCAUCCUGUCUAUUGACUCAAUCCAAGCCACAUUGCUAACUGUUGUUUAAUUUGACAAUGAUGGAGUUGCUGCUUCUGCAGAGGAAAAAUCAUACUGCAAACACUGUGCCACAGAUUUGCAAGUGCAUGGAACAAAAAUUUAACUGAUCUGAAUAGGGGAAAUGAGAUUAAUGCAACACAAUGCUCCUAGUGGAGUUUGACCAAGACCAGAGUUCAGCAAACCUUUUAAGUUUCCUAAAUCUUUAUAGGCUCUGGCAACCUUUAUCUUCCUUUUUGUGUUUUAUAUGAGAAGUGAGGCAUCAUCACAGUACCUCAGUGCCACAGCCAGCACAUGCUGCAGUACUGACUCAGUGCUCUGCACUGCCUGCAGCACCUCAGCUUCCCUCCAAGACAAGCUGCCCCAGGAACAGCCAAGACUCCUUCCUCUGUGAAGACAAUGAGGAUUUAUUUGCAAAUCAGAUGUAAAACAAGAUAUUAGCUAGCCCAUGGUUUUGUUUAGGUUUUAAGUUUGUCAAAUAAAGCCUUUGGGUGAGUAGCUUCAGAAACACGACACAAAAAUGAAGAAUCCUGUGUCUGAACUCAAACCAUAAUCAAGAAAUGUCAUUUUUCCCCCAUGAGAUACAGGCACAUACCACAUCCAUUAGAUACCAAUGUUCAUGUUAAGAUCAUAGCUUUAUGCCCAUAACUGCAUCCUGAUUCUGCUGUCAGAGAAGCACAGGCCAACCAUGGUCUGCAAGCCAUUAGCAGUUUUCAGUCAGCCAGGACAGCUGACUUGAAUUGGGCACAGGUGGAUCACAGACCAUAAAAGCCACCUCAACAUAAAAAGGGAAGAUUGUUGAAGCUGUUUCCUUUGUAGGUUCCUCCUGAUCUUGGUCUUCUUCCUGCUUCUGGGGACUGUUUUCCUAGCUUUUGUGGCUGCUAUAUACUUGCUGAGCUGAGUAUAACUUUCUGUAUUUUAUAGAGGUAUUAGUUUGGCUGUUUCAUUACACUGUGUUUUUAUUUCAGCUUGUGGGUCUUCUCUCUGUAUUCUGAUUUCCCUUCUCUGAUGGGGAGGGGUCAUCAGGUGAUAGAGCAACUGCUCUAGUUUAGUCCUGGGUACAAGCUAAAUGUAGACACUCCGCUAAGGCUGUCAUUGCAAAACAAAACCAGACAUAAAAACGCCUUUUUAUUUGGAUUAACAUUCUCCUUUUGUUUGUGGAGGCUGACAUCUUGGUUCUCUGACUUGAAUUUAGCUAGUUAACUUACUACUCAGAAUAAUAAACCUCUAUCUAAAAUAAGAUCAACUAGGUCAGUGUAGUAGUAAUUGGUUUGGUUUGUUGUUUGGUUUGUUUUUUUUUUCCCCAUGUUGUCUUAAGGGAACAGGCAACACAUGCCUGCUGUCUCUUUCCAUUUGCAAUCCCAGUUUAAAUGUUUAUCAAACUCAGAGCAGCCUCUUUCAAAAAAAUAUGUAUGACUCUACUGGAAGAUUUUCUUUCUUGACUUUCCCAUAUAGUGUCUAUGCUGUGACUGAUCUCAGAUAUGAUCCUGCAUUUAUGUGCUAUUUCAUAAGGCAACUGGAAGAGGAUUCCCUUGUAUGUGUGUGGGAAUGGACCUAACUCUGUUUUGGUCUUUUUAA